rnacentral:rRNA from 1 species
UACGGGGGGGGCAAGCGUUGUUCGGAAUUACUGGGCGUAAAGGGCUCGUAGGUGGCCAACUAAGUCAGACGUGAAAUCCCUCGGCUUAACCGGGGAACUGCGUCUGAUACUGGUUGGCUUGAGUUUGGGAGAGGGAUGCGGAAUUCCAGGUGUAGCGGUGAAAUGCUUAGAUAUCGUCAAGAACACCGAUAGUGAAGACAGCUUACUAGACUUCAACUGACGCUGAGGCACGAAAGUGUGGGGAUCAAACAGG